ensembl:lincRNA
UGGAUUCUAGCUGGAGGCAUCCGCCGCGCGGCUCCAGGGAAGGGGUUUAUCUGUUUGUUCCUUGACCUUGAGCUGGAGCCGAGGCAGCCGGAAAGUCAGGAGGCAGGCCUUGGGAGGGAAGAGGGGUCUGCCGAGCUGAGGCCCAGGACCCUGUGCCCUGCCCUGAGGGACCAGCCAGGUGACGGGAGGGGGCCACGGGGGAGCCGAGUCCUCCGUGAGCCCCAGGUGCCUGCCUUGCUGCGGCCCGGGUGCCCCUGGAAGUGACAGAGACGGGAGGUUUCCACCAGGGACACUGCUGGGCAGGAGAGUCUCCACCGACCACCCCAAGGAUUCUCCUGCUUCAGUGCCCGGGUGGCUGUCACCCCGUCCGUCUUGCUGUUUCAGAGUGUUCUGUUGAAGCCAGGCCCUGGCUUUUCAUCUGGCCAUGCCUCUGGGCACUGUCAACCCAGCAGCUUUCCCACCGGAGGCCUGACAGCAGUUGGGAAGCACCCCUGGGCCCGCUGAAGUGGGGGGCCGCCAGGAGACUGAAGCAGCCGGGGCCUGGGGAUCCCCACACACACCGGAGGGUGGCUGCAAUGAGUCAGCCGGCCCCGGACAGCAGGCAGGUGCUGGGGGGUGUGGAGAUGCCACUGACUUUGAAGGUCACCACCAUCAGCACUCAGCUGAGACUCUGCAGAAAACCACCAGGGAGGUCUCCCAAACACACAUUCCCACCCGCUUGUCCCUGGAUUUCCCAGCUUCCCUUGCACCUAGAAUGUAACCCAGCUCUGGCCAAUGAGCGAAAGGAUUCCAAGGAAGUUUUUUCUUUCUGAAUUAAAAGGCAAGGAUUUCAAGGAAAAUAUACUUCACUAUACCCUUCUUCUCCUUGCCUGGAAUGUGAAUGUGAUGACUCAAGACGAGGCAGCCAUAUUAGCACUGUGUGGACAAAAGCCAGACACUAAGACUGGGCGAGCAGGAAGCUGGAGUCAUCUGGAUCCUCCUCUAGGGACCUGUGCCUGGUGGCAAGUCCUUGCCAUGUCUCCAGCAUGAGGGACAGUGUGAGGUCCCCAGUGCUCUUUUUGGGGAGGAUGUUCCUUCAUGCUAAGACCAUGUCCUUCAUACUGUGGGUUUCAGAAUGUAACUUCCUUCAUGAAAUGAUCAUCCAUGAUGGGAUUCAACAUUUUUUUAUUCUGGUUUUGUUCCCAUCCUUCCCUUGCAAAAUAAAAAAUUGGCAUCCUUGUUAUCCCACAU